rnacentral:misc_RNA from 1 species
GAUGCAACAACCUCAUGGAAUAAUUCUUCUUCCUCUUCUGUCCAGUUCUUUGCAACAGUCUCUCCCAUGUCAUAAAAUCCUAAGUCUGAGAAUCUAUCCUUGCCCAGCCUUUCCUUGAGCCUUUCUCUUGAUUCAUUCACAUGUUGCCUCAUACAUCGGACCGAACCCUUAUCCACGCAACUACAAUCAAUCUUAUUUUUU